rnacentral:rRNA from 1 species
AGAGUUUGAUCAUGGCUCAGAACGAACGCUGGCGGCAGGCUUAACACAUGCAAGUCGAACGCUCUCUUCGGAGAGAGUGGCAGACGGGUGAGUAACGCGUGGGAACCUACCUAGAGGUGCGGAAUAACUUGAGGAAACUCGUGCUAAUACCGCAUACGCCCUUCGGGGGAAAGAUUUAUCGCCUUUAGAUGGGCCCGCGUUGGAUUAGCUAGUUGGUGAGGUAACUGCUCACCAAGGCAACGAUCCAUAGCUGGUCUGAGAGGAUGAUCAGCCACACUGGGACUGAGACACGGCCCAGACUCCUACGGGAGGCAGCAGUGGGGAAUAUUCGGCAAUGGGCGCAAGCCUGACCGAGCCAUGCCGCGUGAGUGACGAAGGCCUUAGGGUUGUAAAGCUCUUUUGGCGGGGAAGAUAAUGACUGUACCCGCAGAAUAAGUCCCGGCUAACUUCGUGCCAGCAGCCGCGGUAAUACGAAGGGGACUAGCGUUGUUCGGAAUCACUGGGCGUAAAGCGCACGUAGGCUGAUAUUUAAGUUAGGGGUGAAAUCCCGGGGCUCAACCUCGGAACUGCCUCUAAUACUGGAUAUCUGGAGUCCGAGAGAGGUGAGUGGAAUUCCUAGUGUAGAGGU